GUAGGUGGCAAGCGUUGUCCGGAAUUAUUGGGCGUAAAGCGCGCGCAGGCGGUCCUUUAAGUCUGAUGUGAAAGCCCACGGCUCAACCGUGGAGGGUCAUUGGAAACUGGGGGACUUGAGUACAGAAGAGGAAAGCGGAAUUCCAAGUGUAGCGGUGAAAUGCGUAGAGAUUUGGAGGAACACCAGUGGCGAAGGCGGCUUUCUGGUCUGUAACUGACGCUGAGGCGCGAAAGCGUGGGGAGCAAACAGGGAUUAGAUACCCUGGUAGUCCACGCCGUAAACGAUGAGUGCUAAGUGGUAGGGGGUUUCCCGCCCCUUAGUGCUGCAGCUAACGCAUUAAGCACUCCGCCUGGGGAGUACGGCCGCAAGGCUG
rnacentral:rRNA from 1 species